AUUGAACGCUGGCGGCAGGCCUAACACAUGCAAGUCGAGCGGAUGAGAGGAGCUUGCUUCUCGAUUCAGCGGCGGACGGGUGAGUAAUGCCUAGGAAUCUGCCUGGUAGUGGGGGACAACGUUUCGAAAGGAACGCUAAUACCGCAUACGUCCUACGGGAGAAAGCAGGGGACCUUCGGGCCUUGCGCUAUCAGAUGAGCCUAGGUCGGAUUAGCUAGUUGGUGAGGUAAUGGCUCACCAAGGCGACGAUCCGUAACUGGUCUGAGAGGAUGAUCAGUCACACUGGAACUGAGACACGGUCCAGACUCCUACGGGAGGCAGCAGUGGGGAAUAUUGGACAAUGGGCGAAAGCCUGGUCCAGCCAUGCCGCGUGUGUGAAGAAGGUCUUCGGAUUGUAAAGCACUUUAAGUUGGGAGGAAGGGUUGUAGAUUAAUACUCUGCAAUUUUGACGUUACCGACAGAAUGAGCACCGGCUAACUCUGUGCCAGCAGCCGCCGUAAUAC
rnacentral:rRNA from 1 species